AUCAGCUCUGGCCACGAGAGCAGAAGUGGCUUCCCCUACAAAGCUUGUGGGUACCAGCCUGGCAGACAUGGAUGGCUAAACUGGGAGAAUGUGAAUCUGGAGCUGCCCAGUGGAGAGCUCUUGUUUGUGCAGGAAGCUAAGCAGAGUCAAGCAAAAGUGAGAAGCGCAAGGAGAGAUGGUUCUUGAGAUGGAGUCUGGCUAAUAUGGGGGCUUAGGUGGAAAGAAACUGAUGGGCCCACCUGUCACAGACAAGAGAGGACUUAGAACCCAUUCCUGCAGAGAUUAAUGCUACACUUCCCUCAAAGGGGGUCUUUAGAGAGCCUGGCCUGGGACAUCCACAAAAUGCUGGCUCUCUCCAGUUCUUCAUGCAUGUGGCCAAAACAGACGCUGUUGACCUGACCCGUCUUCACAUCACAUUUCGAGUCCCUAACAGACCAAUAAAUGGCUCUGUGGCCUGAUUCCAAAUUCCAUGGAGAGAGAAUCCCUCAGCCUUGGUCCAAUCAACUCCUGUCCACGGGUGAGAACUUGUAUCUGGGGGCCUUCGUUUGCGGGUAAAGAGCCUGCUGGCAAAUAUCCUUAAAGGUUUCUAUGUGAGCACCAAAUAUAGUUUUAAAGAGCAGACAACCUCCACUUAUCCACCAACCUGGCAGGUCAGGGGGAAUCUAACCUUCUUUUCAAAUUUUCUGUCCUGCAUUAGACAAUGUCCUUAGCCUUUUAACCUUCUGUGUCCUUAAACGCCUCUCCCCAGCAUAAACCCAUCAUAUCGCUGAGGGGGAAAAAGCAGACGAAAAGAUUAGAUUCUCUUCCUGUUCUAAACAUGAAGUUAAUCUACUGGAAAAAAACCAUUAUUGAUUUUUAUCUUUUAUAGUCUUCUCCUGAAACAACAAUUGUGUGCUACUAUUGGCAAAAUACUUGGCUUGUUUUGGACUCAGAUCUUAAUUUUUAAAGAUUCCUGUUUGUUAUUUUUU
rnacentral:lncRNA from 1 species